UGGGUAACCUGCCUCAAAGAAGGGAAUAGCCUCCCGAAAGGGAGAUUAAUACCGCAUAAUAUGUUUUGGUCGCAUGACUUAAACAUCAAAGGAUUUUCUUUUAGAAAUUCCACUUUGAGAUGGACCCGCGGCGCAUUAGCUAGUUGGUGAGGUAACGGCUCACCAAGGCAACGAUGCGUAGCCGACCUGAGAGGGUGAUCGGCCACAUUGGAACUGAGACACGGUCCAGACUCCUAGG
rnacentral:rRNA from 1 species